rnacentral:rRNA from 1 species
GACGAACGCUGGCGGCGUGCCUAAUACAUGCAAGUCGAGCGAAGUUUUUCUGGUGCUUGCACUAGAAAAACUUAGCGGCGAACGUGUGAGUAACACGUAAAGAACCUCCCUCAUAGACUGGGACAACUAUGGGAAACGAUAGCUAAUACCGGAUAACAGUAUUUCUCGCAUGAGAGAUAUUUAAAAGUUGGUUAUGCUAACACUAUGAGAUGGCUUUGCGGUGCAUUAGCUAGUUGGUGGGGUAAAGGCCCACCAAGGCGACGAUGCAUAGCCGACCUGAGAGGGUGAUCGGCCACACUGGGACUGAGACACGGCCCAGACUCCUACGGGAGGCAGCAGUAGGGAAUCUUCCGCAAUGGGCGAAAGCCUGACGGAGCAACGCCGCGUGAGUGAAGAAGGAUUUCGGUUCGUAAAGCUCUGUUGUUAGGGAAGAAUGGAUAUGUAGUAACUAUACAUGUAAGAGACGGUACCUAACCAGAAAGCCACGGCUAACUACGUG